GCAGCGAAACGCGAUAGUUAAUGUGAAUUGCAGAAUUCAGUGAAUCAUCGAGUCUUUGAACGCACAUUGCGCCCAUUGGCAUUCCAUUGGGCAUGUCUGUUUGAGCGUCAUUACAACCCUCGGUCACCACCGGUUUUGAGCGAGCGAGGUCUCCGGACCAGGCUGGCUUUAAAGUUGUAAGCUCUGCUGACCGCCCGGCCCGACCAGAACAUAGUAGAAACCACGCUUGUUCACGGUUCGCGCUCGGAGCGGUACGGCCUGAACAAUACCUACCAUUUCUCAGGUUUGACCUCAGAUCAGACAAGGAUACCCGCUGAACUUAAGCAUAUCAAUAAGCGGAGGAAAAGAAACCAACAGGGAUUGCCUCAGUAACGGCGAGUGAAGCGGCAAAAGCUCAAAUUUGAAAUCUGGAGCCUCCGGCUCCCGAGUUGUAAUUUGAAGAGGGUGUUUCGGUUGCGGCCUUGGCCCAAGUUCCUUGGAACAGGACGUCAUGGAGGGUGAGAAUCCCGUACAUGGCCGAAGGCUUGCUCCCAUG
rnacentral:rRNA from 1 species